rnacentral:piRNA from 1 species
CAGGACGAGUUUUCCUGAGGCCUUUCUCCCC